GCAUCCGUAGCUCAGGGGAUAGAGCAGCGGUUUCCGGUACCGCGUGUCGGGGGUUCGAAUCCUCUCGGAUGCG
rnacentral:tRNA from 1 species